UCUUCCUCUUCCAAGCUUGGCCGUACCUCUCUUCGUCUCUCCAAUUCUUGGCCAUUUUCUUGAGUACUUUCUAAGAAAGAAAAAUAGCCAUUAAUUUUUAGAAAGAAAAAGAGAGACAAAAUCAAGUGUCAUGUUGUAGUCUAGCAUUCUACACCUUGUCCACUCAAAGUACAAGUUGAAAAGCAUUCUCAAAGAAUAAAUGUUAAGCUUGUUUGGUUGAGAAAUCAGUUGUCAGUGUGGUGGUGAAGUUUAUAUAAUUCACUAAGUGUCUGAAAGAAAGAAUCUUGAAAUAAAAGGGCUUGAGUCCAAGGUAAAAUAGAAGUCAUAAAGCACCAACGGUUUCCUUCCUUCAUUGGGUGUUACGCCUCCUUGGCCCAUGUAAAAUUUUUUUCACCUUUUCUUUCUAGCCAUCGUGGUGCUGAGGACUUGGUGGUUGUGCCAUUGAAGCUUCUUCAAGUCUAAGGUGUCUUUAUGGAUCGGGGUGCUGUGGCCAUGUCUUGGCGGAGGCCACAAUGCUUAAGGCUCUGUUUUGCUCACCUUGUUUUGUUGCUCUACUUUGACUUUAACAUGAUUUUUGACUCCAUUCCAUGAUGAAAUGGGAAACAUUGUAAACAUGAAAGUUGUAACUAUUCCUCUUAGCUUUCCAAUGGUUCAAGAAUCACAUCAAUUGGAUUUUUUUAGUCAAA